rnacentral:SRP_RNA from 2 species
GCUGGGUGCAAUGGCUCACGCCUGUAAUCCCUGCCCUUUGGGAGGCUGAGGCGGGUGGAUCACCUGAGGUCAGGAGUUCGAGACCAGCCUGACCAACAUGGUGAAACCCCGUCUCUA